rnacentral:snRNA from 1 species
GUGCUCAGUUUAACAGCACAUACAUAAAACUGGAACAAUACAGAGAAGAUUAGCAUGGCCUCUGCACAAGGAUAACACACAAAUUAGUGAAGCUUUCCGUACCAAA